ACUCCUACGGGAGGCAGCAGUGGGAAUAUUGCACAAUGGGCGCAAGCCUGAUGCAGCCAUGCCGCGUGUGUGAAGAAGGCCUUCGGGUUGUAAAGCACUUUCAGUCGUGAGGAAGGUAGUGUAGUUAACACCUGCAUUAUUUGACGUUACCUACAGAAGAAGCACCGGCUAACUCCGUGCCAGCAGCCGCGGUAAUACGGAGGGAGCGAGCGUUAAUCGGAAUUACUGGGCGUAAAGCGCACGUAGGCGGCUUUGUAAGUCGGAUGUGAAAGCCCGGCUGACUAGGCAUGGAUGCUGUACUGCAGAGCUAGAGUAUGGUAGAGGGAAGUGGAAUUUCCGGUGUAGCGGUGAAAUGCGUAGAUAUCGGAAGGAACACCGGUGGCGAAGGCGACUUCCUGGGCCAAUACUGACGCUGAGGUGCGAAAGCGUGGGUAGCAAACAGGAUUAGAUACCCUGGUAGGCUCUG
rnacentral:rRNA from 1 species